CAUUAAAGAGUUCUAUAACUCCCAAACCCAUGUGAACAUACCUAACGUUGCCUCGGCAGGUCGCACCUACCUUGUAGCACCCUACCCUGUAGGGCCUACCCGGGAGGUGCGGGUAAGCCUGCCGGCGGCCCACCAAACUCUGUUUGAUAUUGAAUUCUGAACCUAUAACUAAAUAAGUUAAAACUUUCAACAACGGAUCUCUUGGUUCUGGCAUCGAUGAAGAACGCAGCGAAAUGCGAUAAGUAAUGUGAAUUGCAGAAUUCAGUGAAUCAUCGAAUCUUUGAACGCAUAUUGCGCCCAUUAGUAUUCUAGUGGGCAGGACCGUUCGAGCGUCAUUUCAACCCUUAAGCCUUCGUUGCUUAGUGUUGGGAGCCUACGGCAACGUAGCUCCUCAAAGUUAGUGGCGGAGUUGGUUCACACUCUAGACGUAGUAAUUUUUUAUCUCGCCUAUUAGUUGGACUAAUCCCCUGCCGUAAAACCCCCAAUUUAUAUCAAGGUUGACCUCGAAUCGGUUCAGACAAACUCGCUAAAUUGAAGCAUCUUAGUCAGCGAAGGAAAAGAAACCAACAGGGAUUGCCCUAGUAACGGCGAGUGAAGCGGCAACAGCUCAAAUUUGAAAUCUGGCCCUCGGGUCCGAGUUGUAAUUUGUAGAGGAUGCUUUUGGCGCGGUGCCUUCCGAGUUCCCUGGAACGGGACGCCUUAGAGGGUGAGAGCCCCGUACGGUUGGACACCAAGCCUCUGUAAAGCUCCUUCGACGAGUCGAGUAGCUUGGGAAUGCUGCUCUAAAUGGGAGG
rnacentral:rRNA from 1 species